rnacentral:sRNA from 1 species
GUCUCGAUCUGCGUCGGACUGAUGAAAUGAAUGUGCGUGUCCAAUCCUCCGGCCGUCAGGAUCAGCCCCUCGCCCGCAAUAAUUUCCGUGCUCGCGCCGAUCACCAGGUUCGGGUCCACGCCAUCCAUCAUAUCCGGAUUGCCCGCUUUGCCAAUGCCGCAGAUCUUGCCGUCUCGGAUACCGACAUCCGCCUUGACGAUGCCCCACCAGUCGAGGAUCACAGCGCUCGUGAUGACCGUAUCCGGGCAAUCCGCGUCGCGCACCGUGGAGGAUUGGCCCAUGCCGUCGCG